UUUAGAGGAAGUAAAAGUCGUAACAAGGUCUCCGUAGGUGAACCUGCGGAGGGAUCAUUACACAAAUAUGAAGGCGGGCUGGAACCUCUCGGGGUUACAGCCUUGCUGAAUUAUUCACCCUUGUCUUUUGCGUACUUCUUGUUUCCUUGGUGGGUUCGCCCACCACUAGGACAAACAUAAACCUUUUGUAAUUGCAAUCAGCGUCAGUAACAAAUUAAUAAUUACAACUUUCAACAACGGAUCUCUUGGUUCUGGCAUCGAUGAAGAACGCAGCGAAAUGCGAUAAGUAAUGUGAAUUGCAGAAUUCAGUGAAUCAUCGAAUCUUUGAACGCACAUUGCGCCCGCCAGUAUUCUGGCGGGCAUGCCUGUUCGAGCGUCAUUUCAACCCUCAAGCUCAGCUUGGUGUUGGGACUCGCGGUAACCCGCGUUCCCCAAAUCGAUUGGCGGUCACGUCAAGCUUCCAUAGCGUAGUAAUCAUACACCUCGUUACUGGUAAUCGUCGCGGCCACGCCGUUAAACCCCAACUUCUGAAUGUUGACCUCGGAUCAGGUAGGAAUACCCGCUGAACUUAAGCAUAUCAAUAAG
rnacentral:rRNA from 1 species